GACGAACGCUGGCGGCGUGCUUAACACAUGCAAGUCGAACGGUGAAGCGCCUUCCUUUUUGGUGGGUGUGGAUGAGUGGCGAACGGGUGAGUAACACGUGAGUAACCUGCCCCCUUCUUCUGGAUAACCGCAUGAAAGUGUGGCUAAUACGGGAUAUUCUGGGUCUGUCGCAUGAUGGGUCUGGGAAAGAUAUUGUUUCGGUGGGGGAUGGGCUCGCGGCCUAUCAGCUUGUUGGUGGGGUGAUGGCCUACCAAGGCGGUGACGGGUAGCCGGCCUGAGAGGGUGGACGGUCACACGGGGACUGAGACACGGCCCAGACUCCUACGGGAGGCAGCAGUGGGGAAUAGUGCACAAUGGGCGCAAGCCUGAUGCAGCGACGCCGCGUGAGGGAUGGAGGCCUUCGGGUUGUGAACCUCUUUCGCCAGUGAAGCAGGCCUGCCUCGUUUGUGGGUGGGUUGACGGUAGCUGGAGAAGAAGCGCCGGCUAACUACGUG
rnacentral:rRNA from 1 species